rnacentral:rRNA from 1 species
GAUGAACGCUAGCGGCAGGCCUAACACAUGCAAGUCGAGGGGGAAGUUACUUUCGGGUGACUGAGACCGGCGUACGGGUGCGUAACGCGUAUACAAUCUGCCUUUCACUGGGGGAUAGCCCGAAGAAAUUUGGAUUAAUACCCCAUAGUAUAUAGGGACGGCAUCGUUUUUAUAUUAAAGCUUAGGUGGUGAAAGAUGAGUAUGCGUUCUAUUAGCUAGUUGGAGAGGUAACGGCUCCCCAAGGCGAUGAUAGAUAGGGGUUCUGAGAGGGAUGUCCCCCACACUGGUACUGAGAUACGGACCAGACUCCUACGGGAGGCAGCAGUGAGGAAUAUUGGACAAUGGUCGGAAGACUGAUCCAGCCAUGCCGCGUGCAGGAUGAAGGUCUUAUGGAUUGUAAACUGCUUUUGUAAGGGAAGAAUAAGGGCUACGCGUAGUUUGAUGACGGUACCUUACGAAUAAGCAUCGGCUAACUCCGUG